rnacentral:lncRNA from 1 species
AAAGAGUUAGCUUCUGUGUCUUACUUUGGAGGUAUUAGCUAGUUUAUAUAGUUCUAUUCAGCAGUUACUUUAUAUAUAUUCACUUUUAUGGAGGAAACAUUGAAAACAAUGUUGUUUUCACCGUAUACUGAAGCAAUUGUUUUUAUCUUUUCUUCUGCAACCUUCAGGACCAAAAUGAAUAGUAAACAUACCAAGUAGAAAGAUACAGUGGAAAAUGUUUACUAGAUCAGAAAGCAUGCACACACUUAAGCAUUGAAUUCUCCCAUUUUGAGUUAUGCUUAUGCAUGACCAGGAAGUAUUAUUAUUAUAGGUGGUGACUGAUGAAAAUGCCAACUUGUUAGAUGGCUCAGUUGCCUAGCUUAUUUAUCCAGCA